GAUGAACGCUGACAGAAUGCUUAACACAUGCAAGUCAACUUGAAUUUGGGUUUUUAACUUANAUUUGGGUGGCGGACGGGUGAGUAACGCGUAAAGAACUUGCCUCACAGCUAGGGACAACAUUUAUAAAUGAAUGCUAAUACCUGAUAUUAUGAUUUUAAGGCAUCUUAGAAUUAUGAAAGCUAUAAGCACUGUGAGAGAGCUNUGCGUCCCNUUANCUAGUUGGAGAGGUAACAGCUCACCAAGGCGAUGAUGGGUAGCCGGCCNGNGAGGGUGAACGGCCACAAGGGGACUGANACACGGCCCUUACUCCUACGGGAGGCAGCAGUGGGGAAUAUUGGACAAUGGACCGAGAGUCUGAUCCNGCAUUCUGUGUGCACGAUGAAGUUUUUCGGAAUGUAAAGUGCUUUCAGUUGGGAAGAAAGAAAUGACGGUACCAACCGAAGAAGUGACNGCUAAAUACGUGCCAGCAGCCGCGGUAAUACGUAUGUCACGAGCGUUAUCC
rnacentral:rRNA from 1 species